AUUGAACGCUGGCGGCAUGCCUUACACAUGCAAGUCGAACGGCAGCGCGGGAGCAAUCCUGGCGGCGAGUGGCGAACGGGUGAGUAAUAUAUCGGAACGUGCCCAUUAGUGGGGGAUAGCCCGGCGAAAGCCGGAUUAAUACCGCAUACGACCUGAGGGUGAAAGCGGGGGAUCGCAAGACCUCGCGCUAUUGGAGCGGCCGAUAUCAGAUUAGCUAGUUGGUGGGGUAAAGGCCUACCAAGGCAACGAUCUGUAGGUGGUCUGAGAGGACGACCAGCCACGCUGGGACUGAGACACGGCCCAGACUCCUACGGGAGGCAGCAGUGGGGAAUUUUGGACAAUGGGCGCAAGCCUGAUCCAGCAAUGCCGCGUGCAGGAAGAAGGCCUUCGGGUUGUAAACUGCUUUUGUCAGGGAAGAAAUCCUUUGGGCUAAUACCUCGGAGGGAUGACGGUACCUGAAGAAUAAGCACCGGCUAACUACGUGCCAGCCGCCGCAGUAA
rnacentral:rRNA from 1 species